rnacentral:tRNA from 1 species
GCCAGUGUAGCUCAGUGGUUAGAGUGUUGAGCCAUGCACUGAAGGGUUAUGGGUUUGAUUCCUGGUCAGUGGCA